GGACUACAGGGGUAUCUAAUCCUGUUUGCUCCCCACGCUUUCGAGUCUCAGCGUCAGUAAUCUUCUAGAUGGCCGCCUUCGCCACAGGUGUUCCUCCAGAUAUCUACGAAUUUCACCUCUACACCUGGAAUUCCGCCAUCCCCUCCGAUACUCUAGCCCGACAGUAUCAGAUGCAGUUCCUUGGUUGAGCCUAGGGAUUUCACAUCUGACUUAUCGAGCCGCCUACACUCGCUUUACGCCCAGUAAUUCCGAACAACGCUUGCACCCUCUGUAUUACCGCGGCUGCUGGCAC
rnacentral:rRNA from 1 species